rnacentral:piRNA from 1 species
UAUGAGGUGGUGCCAUAUUCAAGGGU